rnacentral:rRNA from 1 species
AUACGGAGGGUGCAAGCGUUAUUCGGAAUCACUGGGCGUAAAUGACGCGUAGGCGGGUUGGCAAGUCAGAUGUGAAAUCCUACAGCUUAACAGUAGAACUGCAUUUGAAACUGCUAACCUAGAGUAUGGGAGGGGGAGAUGGAAUUAGUGGUGUAGGGGUAAAAUCCGUAGAUAUCACUAGGAAUACCGAAAGCGAAGGCGAUCUCCUGGAACAUAACUGACGCUAAGGCGUGAAAGCGUGGGGAGCAAACAGGAUUAGAUACCCUAGUAGUCC